GAACCAGACUCCUACGGGAGGCAGCAGUGGGGGAUAUUGCACAAUGGGGGAAACCCUGAUGCAGCGACGCCGCGUGAGCGGUGAAGUAUUUCGGUAUGUAAAGCUCUAUCAGCAGGGAAGAAAAUGACGGUACCUGACUAAGAAGCCCCGGCUAACUACGUGCCAGCAGCCGCGGUAAUACGUAGGGGGCAAGCGUUAUCCGGAUUUACUGGGUGUAAAGGGAGCGUAGACGGCGGUGCAAGCCAGAUGUGAAAGCCCGGGGCUCAACCCCGGGACUGCAUUUGGAACUGUGCUGCUAGAGUGUCGGAGAGGCAGGCGGAAUUCCUAGUGUAGCGGUGAAAUGCGUAGAUAUUAGGAGGAACACCGGUGGCGAAGGCGGCCUGCUGGACUGCGACUGACGUUGAGGCCCGAAAGCGUGGGGAGCAAACAGGAUUAGAUACCCCCGUAAA
rnacentral:rRNA from 1 species